UAGGAUCUCUCUACGUCAGGGGUGCGCAAACUUUUUGGGUCAAUGGCCACAUCUGGGUGGGGAAAUUGUAUGCAGGGCUGGGGCAGCGGGUUGGGGUGCAGGAGGGAGUGCAGGGUAU